UCAGGGCAAGUAAUACCACCUUAUGUGUCAAUCAGCUGGUAGGAACAAAGACCACGUUGAUUUUAUACAGAUGAAAGUGUCUCCAAAAACAUCACCAAAUGUACUAGGUUGAAAGUGAA